GACGUACGCUGGCGGCGUGCUUAACACAUGCAAGUCGUACGGUAAGGCCCUUUCGGGGGUACACGAGUGGCGCACGGGUGAGUAACACGUGAGUAACCUGCCCACAACUUUGGGAUAACGCUAGGAAACUGGUGCUAAUACUGGAUAUGUGCUCCUGCUGCAUGGUGGGGGUUGGAAAGCUCCGGCGGUUGUGGAUGGACUCGCGGCCUAUCAGCUUGUUGGUGGGGUAGUGGCCUACCAAGGCGGCGACGGGUAGCCGGCCUGAGAGGGUGACCGGCCACAUUGGGACUGAGAUACGGCCCAGACUCCUACGGGAGGCAGCAGUGGGGAAUAUUGCACAAUGGGCGCAAGCCUGAUGCAGCAACGCCGCGUGCGGGAUGACGGCCUUCGGGUUGUAAACCGCUUUCAGCAGGGACGAAGCUUUUUGUGACGGUACCUGCAGAAGAAGCACCGGCUAACUACGUG
rnacentral:rRNA from 1 species